ACAAUGGACGAAAGUCUGAUGGAGCAACGCCGCGUGAGUGAAGAAGGGUUUCGGCUCGUAAAAACUCUGUUGUUAAAGAAGAACAUAUCUGAGAGUAACUGUUCAGGUAUUGACGGUAUUUAACCAGAAAGCCCACGGCUAACUACGUGCCAGCAGCCGCGGUAAUACGUAGGUGGCAAGCGUUGUCCGGAUUUAUUGGGCGUAAAGCGAGCGCAGGCGGUUUUAAGUUCUGAUGUGAAAGCCUUCGGCUCAACCGAAGAAGUGCAUCGGAAACUGGGAAACUUGAGUGCAGAAGAGGACAGUGGGACUCCAUGUGUAGCGGUGAAAUGCGUAGAUAUAUGGAAGAACACCAGUGGCGAAGGCGGCUGUCUGGUCUGUAACUGACGCUGAGGCUCGAAAGUAUGGGUAGCAAACAGGAUUAGAUACCCUGGUAG
rnacentral:rRNA from 1 species